UACCGUGAGGGAAAGUUGAAAAGAACUCUGAAUAGAGAGUUAAAAAGUACGUGAAACUGCUUAGGGGUUAAGCCCGAUGAACCUGAAUAUCUUAUAUGAAAAAUUCAUCAUUAAUAGCAUAUUAUAUUUUAUAUAAUGUGUGAAUAGUGUGCAAUUUUUUCAUAAUAAAGACAUUGUUAUCUGUUAAUAAGCAUAUUAUGUAUAUAAUUUUUAUCAUAAGGUCCGUAGGAUAAUGUUUACUCUUUAUUUAGUAUUUAUAUUAAAUAUGAGUAAAAUCCAAAAUAUCGUAAGAUAUUGCGGUACCGGAUAAAUCAUUAACAGAUUUAUAAAUAUAUGGCGCUUACAUUUUUCGGAAUGUUGUAAUAAAUAUAUAUUCUAUGUAUUAUGUAUUCUAUUAUAUGCGUGUAUAUGAUAAACAAUGCUAUAGAUUUAGGAUACCUUCGGGACCCGUCUUGA
rnacentral:rRNA from 1 species